ACUGCUAUCGGGGUGGGACUAAGACAUGCGAGUCGAGCGUCUCUAGCUAUGUUGAGACGCGGCAUACGGCUCAGUAACACGUGGCUAACCUACCCUCAGGACGGGGACAAACCCGGGAAACUGGGGCUAAUAUCCGAUAGGCGAGGAAUCCUGGAAUGGUUCUUCACCCAAAGGACAUUGGAAACAUGCUUUCUCUGUCGCCUGGGGAUGGGGCCGCGACCGAUCAGGUUGUUGGUGAGGUAAUGGCUCACCAAGCCUAUAACCGGUACGGGCCGUGAGAGCGGUAGCCCGGAGAUGGGUACUGAGACAAGGACCCAGGCCCUACGGGGCGCAGCAGUCGCGAAAACUCCGCGAUGCACGAAAGUGUGACGGGGCUACCCCGAGUGCCGUCCGCUGAGGAUGGCUUUUCCUUGGUGUAACUAGCCGGGGGAAUAAGGAGAGGGCAAGACUGGUGUCAGCCGCCGCGGUAAUACCAGCUCUCCGAGUGGUAGGGAUGAUUAUUGGGCUUAAAGCGUCCGUAGCCGGCUUAGCAAGUCUCCUGUUAAAUUCAGCGACCUAAUCGUUGACCCGCGGGAGAUACUACUAGGCUAGGAGGCGGGAGAGGUCGACGGUACUUCUGGGGUAGGGGUGAAAUCCUAUAAUCCCGGGAGGACCACCAGUGGCGAAGGCUGUCGACUAGAACGCGCUCGACGGUGAGGGACGAAAGCUGGGGGAGCGAACCGGAUUAGAUACCCGGGUAGUCCCAGCUGUAAACGAUGCGGGCUAGGUGUUGGGGUGGCUACGUGCCACUUCAGUGCCGCAGGGAAGCCAUUAAGCCCGCCGCCUGGGGAGUACGGCCGCAAGGCUGAAACUUAAAGGAAUUGGCGGGGGAGCACCACAAGGCGUGAAG
rnacentral:rRNA from 1 species